rnacentral:rRNA from 1 species
AUUGAACGCUGGCGGCAUGCCUUACACAUGCAAGUCGAACGGCAGCAUGAUCUAGCUUGCUAGAUUGAUGGCGAGUGGCGAACGGGUGAGUAAUACAUCGGAACGUGCCCUGUUGUGGGGGAUAACUAGUCGAAAGAUUAGCUAAUACCGCAUACGACCUGAGGGUGAAAGGGGGGGAGCGCAAUGCCUCAUGCUAUAGGAGCGGCCGAUGUCUGAUUAGCUAGUUGGUGAGGUAAAGGCUCACCAAGGCGACGAUCAGUAGCUGGUCUGAGAGGACGAUCAGCCACACUGGGACUGAGACACGGCCCAGACUCCUACGGGAGGCAGCAGUGGGGAAUUUUGGACAAUGGGCGAAAGCCUGAUCCAGCAAUGCCGCGUGUGUGAAGAAGGCCUUCGGGUUGUAAAGCACUUUUGUCCGGAAAGAAAUGGCUCUGGUUAAUACCUGGGGUCGAUGACGGUACCGGAAGAAUAAGAACCGGCUAACUACGUG